rnacentral:lncRNA from 1 species
CGCCCCCUGCCGGCCGAUCGCCGCGCUGCGCUGCUCUCCUCUGCCAUGACGGCCGCGGGGCUGACGUUCCCCGCUGCGCGCCCGGGGCAGGCCGUGGCCGGAGCCCUCCGUGGGCUGCCAGAUGGCUGCGGUACAAAGGGCAGCCCGCCUCGUGUUUGCGUUACAAGGCACUGAACAAACGCAUCGCAGCUGACACCGCUCCAGCUUUGGGCGCGUGAGGUGUACCUGCCCUACCAGGUGCGCCGGGGCCUGUGCCAGGGGAGCCCGCUGCCCUAUAAAUCCCCUCUUUUAUUUCUCCGUUGCAGGAAUGCUGCGGGUUUAUAAAACACCUGAGAGCCCGUGGUUAAUGUUUCAUCUGCUCGGGGAUAUCCCGUGGGACCAAACUAUUGUUUAAUCUUCUGCAGAACGAACCGUGAUUUAUACGACGUUUGUCCAAAGCAUUUUUCUUCUAUUAGCCGUACCACUGCGUGUCAGAGGCAGAACGUGGAUUUAUCCGCUGCUCGUGCUGCCCACAUCGCACAUAAUGCUGUGUGCACUGAGUAAAAAACACAGAAGUAAAUACUGUGCCUGCCAAGGGAGGACGUACAGAUGGAAGGCUCCGUCUCCAAGGGGAUUUGGAUCCGGAUCAACAUCCAGCAGCCGCAGCGGUUAGCGGAGCCCCGGCAGUGCUAAAGGAAAGAGUAUUUUGGCUACAGUGAGCAACACAAGAGUUAAACAACAGCUUCAAGGAGUAGGUAUGAAAAAAUAUAAACCUCUUAGAGGAACUGGAAGCAGCAGGAGGUCAGUGUGAGCCCAAACAUUAACACAGCCAUUCAGAUUAAUCAGUUCCGGAGUAGCAGUGUCCCACUCUAUAAACUCUACAACGUGUAUACAGUCAGCUGCUGCUGAAAUAUCGCCACUUCUGGCAGAAAUGCCACAGCUGCUUAACAGCCCACAUCGACACGAGCCCUCAAAGGAGAGAACGUGGAGAAGACCAAACCUACAGCCAGUGGUCAGUGUGAAUUGCAUUGCCACAGCCAGUCGACUUCCCAGGAAAACUGUUUCACAAAAGGGAGAUGGAAAGGGGUAGGCAAACCUUUCAUGCCUUUCAGCACAGUGCAGGCACGUGGGGCAGUGGGGCACCAAGGAGCACCUGUAGGCGUGAUGCUUUCUCAAAGAAUCCAGCCAGAUGACACUUCACAGUGCCCAGCAUUUUCAGCCCAGCUUGAGACUGACGUGGAUCCCUGAAGGAUCAACAGAAGGCCACUUUCCUUCCGUCCCGAUGCAUUACUGCCCUAAGCCAAGCAAAGAUCUGAAAUGAAAAUAUCUGAAAUGUCCCAAACCAGAUCCCUGCUCCUGCUAAACCUCUUUGCCAUCCUCCUGGCCUAAAAACCUGAAGUGAGGCUAUUUACAAACAGACCACAUCCAAAAUAA